AUGAAAACUAGCUUUUGGCAAUCUCCCUACUCAUCUCUGGUAGUAGCGCGCGAGGAUGAAAAUAACAUCGAAACAGAGGACAUACGCAAUUCGAGAAUAAAACGAAAGUGUAAGUCGCCAUUGCAUCGAGGAGCGUUUAUUGCGAACUCCAUUCCGUGGAGAAUAUUGACAACCGAUAACACUCGAUAAAACCGCAGCAUUAUGGCUAAAGGAAAAGGUGGUGGUGGAAAAGGUGGAGACAAAAAAGCUGCAGGUGCCGUUAGCGGCGCCAGCGCUAAUGCUAGUUCCGGUGGUAAAACAGCUGAAGUGAAACCUGAUGGGAAUGCUGGAAAGAAGGGCGGAAAGAAAGGCGGAAAGAAAUGAUGCAUACUGGAUCGCAGGAAAAUUUCAACAUAGAAUAAUAAGGGCGCGAAAAAAAUUUUUAAAUAUCAACAUUUUUCUUUGUCGCAUUAAAAUCCUAUUAGUUGCGCACAAAUUCAUCGAAUAUAAUGAUCAAUCAUCAAAUUCAACAACUGUUAAAUACGUAUUUGAUUAAAGCAGAAAAAAUAUGCUUAUAGCAUAAAAUCAUA